GAACGGGCGGGGUGCUAAUACAUGCAAGUCGAGCGCAGGAAGCAAGUUGAUCCCCUUCGGGGGUGACGCUUGUGGAAUGAGCGGCGGACGGGUGAGUAACACGUGGGCAACCUGCCUGUAAGACUGGGAUAACCCCGGGAAACCGGGGCUAAUACCGGAUAAUACUUUCUUUUGCAUAAAGGAAAGUUGAAAGGCGGCUUCGGCUGUCACUUACAGAUGGGCCCGCGGCGCAUUAGCUAGUUGGUGAGGUAACGGCUCACCAAGGCGACGAUGCGUAGCCGACCUGAGAGGGUGAUCGGCCACACUGGGACUGAGACACGGCCCAGACUCCUACGGGAGGCAGCAGUAGGGAAUCUUCCGCAAUGGACGAAAGUCUGACGGAGCAACGCCGCGUGAGUGAUGAAGGUUUUCGGAUCGUAAAACUCUGUUGUUAGGGAAGAACAAGUUGGAUAGUAACUGAUCGUACCUUGACGGUACCUAACCAGAAAGCCACGGCUAACUACGUGCCAGCAGCCGCGGUAAUACGUAGGUGGCAAGCGUUGUCCGGAAUUAUUGGGCGUAAAGCGCUCGCAGGCGGUCCUUUAAGUCUGAUGUGAAAUCUCGCGGCUCAACCGCGAACGGUCAUUGGAAACUGGAGGACUUGAGUACAGAAGAGGAGAGUGGAAUUCCACGUGUAGCGGUGAAAUGCGUAGAGAUGUGGAGGAACACCAGUGGCGAAGGCGACUCUCUGGUCUGUAACUGACGCUGAGGAGCGAAAGCGUGGGGAGCGAACAGGAUUAGAUACCCUGGUAGUCCACGCCGUAAACGAUGAGUGCUAGGUGUUAGGGGGUUUCCGCCCCUUAGUGCUGAAGUUAACGCAUUAAGCACUCCGCCUGGGGAGUACGGCCGCAAGGCUGAACUCAAAAGAAUUGACGGGGGCCCGCACAAGCGGUGGAGCAUGUGGUUUAAUUCGAAGCAACGCGAAGAACCUUACCAGGUCUUGACAUCCUCUGCUAUUCCUAGAGAUAGGAAGUUCCCUUCGGGGACAGAGUGACAGUG
rnacentral:rRNA from 1 species